rnacentral:lncRNA from 1 species
CAUAAACCUUGUGUUUAAAUUUCAUUGAUUUCUAUUUACUUAUACUAAAGUUAUUGUGCGAAAACCAAGAAUAAUGCUUAUUUGGGCCCUUUUUGGCCCUUAAUUCCUAAACUGUUGGAACCAAAACUCCCAAAAUCAAUCCCAACCGUCCUUUUGUGGUCAUAAACCUUGUGUCAAAAUUUCAUAGAUUUCUAUUCACUUAAACUAAAGUUAU